rnacentral:rRNA from 1 species
UAUGGAUGGGGGAUGCGUCUGAUUAGCUUGUUUGGCGGGGUAACGGCCCACCAAGGCUACGAUCAGUAGGGGUUCUGAGAGGAAGGUCCCCCACAUUGGAACUGAGACACGGUCCAAACUCCUACGGGAGGCAGCAGUGAGGAAUAUUGGUCAAUGGGCGAGAGCCUGAACCAGCCAAGUAGCGUGCAGGAUGACGGCCCUAUGGGUUGUAAACUGCUUUUACGCGGGGAUAAAGUGCGUGACGUGUCUCGCAUUGCAGGUACCGCGUGAAUAAGGACCGGCUAAUUCCGUGCCAGCAGCCGCGGUAAU